rnacentral:rRNA from 1 species
UAAAACAUAGCAUUAAUGCAUCAAAUCCCAGUAGAACUUUUCAAUUAAGCACACUCAGGAUAGAGUAGUAUUGGGAUGGGUGACCAGCCGAGAAGUAUUAGUGUUUUAC